ensembl:lncRNA
GACGACGUGUUUGUAGCCUAUUCAUUUAGAGAAGAGGAGAAGAGGAGAAUUCACAAUAAAUCCCUCUCACAGCCACCGGAGGGCGAGCAUUCAAGGAACCUUUGAUUCCGGAUAUCAUGUUGACAAUGGGACACGGUUAACUGUAAAACAGGAUGUUUUUCUCCGUCGUUCAGAGUAGGGCCGAGCCAGGGAUGCAUGCCUGCCUGCCUGCCUGCCUGCCUGCCUGCCUGCCUGCCUGCCUGCCUGCAUAGAGAAACUAGAGCCAGGGCUAACCCUAUCAUCCAGUACCCAGGUGAGAAUUGUGCUACAUAAAUAUACUGUGUAGCCUGUAUAGAGAACCAGGGCAUGAUCCUCCUUCCUGUUGUGUGUGUGUGUGUGUGUUUGCUGUGAAAAUUGUGAAUCCAACAACACCAGGCCUGUGCUAAUCGCACCUGUAGUUCCUAAGAUAGUCCAAGUUGAAGCACAGCCAAUCACAAGCCAGAUAUUCAAAUGAGAGUCAAACUCUUGAGGGUCAAAGUCGUUUUUAUGCUUAUACCUAACCCUAACCCUAACCUCUAUUCCAAGGUUUGCUCUAAUUUAGCGCCUUAUCCUUACCCAUGGCCCUACAAGGUGGAGUUGGACUUUCCUUUAGAUAAUGACUCCCUUCUUUUAAGCCUAUGUGGCUACUUUGACCCCUGACUCCGGGGAGUCUUUAUUCUCUUUAGCUAAUUAGAAGUACGGAUAAGGAAUUACGGAUUUCUUUUCUCCUUGUUUUGGAUCAGAUUCCCUCCUAUUGGGGGCUUAUUAUUUGAUUUAAAUUAUAAUUUAUAGUCCCAUUUCUAAAUUUAAUAAAAUUAGUUAGGGGAAGGACAAAGUUGCGUACAAACUAAUGUGCACGCACUUUCCGCCAUCUCUUUCUUUUCAGCCACGCACUCGUCUUGAACGCACGGUAGAGAGCUAUUACUACUUAAUAAGCCUGAUGAAGACCAAUCUUGGUCGAAACGUUGCUUGUUGUAUAUAGUUUUUAUUGUUAAUAAACUUAUAUAAUUUUGAAAUCAUCACAGAGUUUAUUUUCGGUUCUUUACAAAAAGUUUAGUUCGAGUUUUUGCACAGUGAUGGCUCCUGGAUGUGAAUAAAAUGUCUCGUUGGCGACGAAAUUAUGAGGAUUAUUGGGAUAACCAUGAUUAUGAGCAACCCAGACGACGUCGAAGGUCGUUUUCGCCGCCUGGGCGACGUUAUAAUAAUCCCUAUAAUAAUCGUUACAACCAUGAUGGCCGCUCGUAUGCUACUGUUGUCCGUGAGGGCCGACCACGUGCAACUUGGCCUGUCCAGCACCGGUAUGGGCCUCAAGACUAUGCUAACCCGAACCAGGGUAGAUAUCGUCGACGUCCCCGGAGUGGUGGGGACCGGUCCUAUCCCAGAAGGAGAUCCAGGGACAAUUACCGCCGUCCGACGCGCCGGCCUGCCAGCCGGUCCAGGGUGGUACGUACUCGAAGUCAGGGGCGACGGAGGUCGAAUAGCAGGGACCUACCGUCGGAUAAGCCCAUUAGUACGGACCCCGAAUUCACUGCAAAGACACGGGGUAUAUUAAAAUUAAUUAAGGCUACCCACCAUUUAGGAAAUGUUAUGUCGGAACAGCCUCCAAUUUCAAUAGCUAACAUAGCUAAUCAUUUAAUUACGGCUAUUAAACCUGCUGCCCCUACGGCGAAUACAUUGUCCCUCAUAGAGGGGAAUGCUAGGUAUUGGGCACAGAAUACAAUGAUCAUACUCAGGGAUCAUUACCAAGAUGACAUUCAAAAUGCUGUCCAGAUCCUAAUACAAUUAGAAGCCUGGGACUGGAGACAGAACUUUGAUAUUGCUUCUGCAUGGGCUAAGAGCCAAUUUGGACGCAGGUUGAGGGAGGACACUUUGGAUGAAGUACAAACUCAAUUACGUGAGAGACUAAUUGCCCCCUCCAGAACACAGCGUGUCUCUGAAUCCAGAAUUGAGGAACAAAGACCGGUAAUGUCCAUGCAAACACUGCCAGAGGGGGAUUUUCCAUCUCUUUUACCGGAGAGGAGGAGUAAGCUACUGACCGUCACAGCAGAGGUGCACCCUCCUCCUCCUUCCUUGAACCUGAGGGAAUUCUCCGAACCACUCCUGGCCCCUGCAACGGUUGCCAGGCCCAGGAUGAUGGACUGUGGCACGAUGACCGCCCCCACUAGUGACUGGUCGCCGGAGAAACUUCAAGAACCUGGGAGAGUGGAGGGAGCUUCCUCCCCUCCGUUCCCCUUCCCCUCCCCUGGUUCUCCUGUUCCCCCCUUUGUCUCCCUCCCCAUUCUAUAUUCUCCUACUAUCCCUCUAACACAGGCACCCAAACCGCAGAGGAAGGUUCGGAGGCUGGAGUCACCCACCUCGGUGAUUCACCACGCUCCCUUGACCAGUGGGGUACAUACUCCACCUCGGGCGGCUACAGAUUGGCAGUCCUGUGAUGAUGAGUCGGAGGAUGAAACGACACGACGGGCAGGGCCUUUUGUCCCUCCUACUUCUGGUGCCCGUGUGAGUCAGGGGACCUCCUCGUCAUCGGAUUCUUCUUCAGAGGAGGACCAACCGCUGGUGGACAAGGACUCAGACAGCCCCAUUCCACCGACCCCUCCGCCGAUGGGACCUGCGGCCCAGGGCACUCCUGCUCUCAACAAACCACGGGUGAUCUGUUUGAGACGGAGAGGGACAACAUUCAUUGGACUCAAAGCACAGCUCGGCGCAUGCUGGACCACUGGCUGACCUGUUUAAACAAGUUGUCCCCGUGAAUCCUGUUCUGGCUGCCAACAUUGAUGAGGCCUUGCUCCACACCCUCAGUCGUAAUGAUUUGAGAGACCCUUUCCUGGACCAGAACACUUUCUCAGGAGGAAACGAGUAUGGGCUCUUAUUAGCCCAGAGGGCCUGCUCGAAACAAGGAGGAACUUCACAAUAUUCUCAUACAGUGUGCACAGCUCAGGGCAAAUGUGGUCCAAUUGUGAUUUGGGUUUUUGAGAGUGGACAGAGACCAACAGACCCAGCACAGUGUGGUACAACGGGUCAAAGAGGAGCAACUUGGAUCUAUUAAAUUGCAGUCGGACAUUACAAGGCGGAACGGGAGCUAUCCAAACCUCUCGAGUGGCUGGAGAAAUCUGUUCAUAUAUCAAAGUGGACACAAGCAGACAAAACAACUAAAAUCACAGACCCAGCACAGGGUGGUACGAUGGGCCAAUGAAGAGCAGCUCAAAUAGCGGUCGGAUAUUACAGGACUGGACGGGUGCUUUCCAAACCUACUCCUCACUGUGGGCGGACAGAGUCCCGGUAGCCAUGUAGGGCUGACCAUGUCUGAUUACCUAAUGCUCACUGAACAAUUUAAAGGAUACAUCUAGCCUGUUGUUUCACUAUAAAUCAGGAGGGUGUUUUGAAAGACCUUGAGUUUCCUAGGAGGAGUCUCCCUUGUGUAUAAGAUUAGUUACAGACACUGGGCAGAUCUCAGUGUACACAUUGCAACUGGACCGUAAAUAUGAACCAAACACAGUUUCAAUAUUUUUUAAAGCAACUACUAGGAAGCGAUUAACAGUAUACAAUGGCAGAAGAAUAUUUUGCUACCGGAAACUAUGGAUACGGAGCACAUCACAUUGAUCACAACAUGGCAGACACUUAUAUUACUAGAGGCAACUAUGGACACAGGGAACAUCACAAUGAACAAGAAAUGACAGAAAGAUAUUUUGCUACAGGCAACUAUGGAUAUGGAGUACAUCAUGAUGAACACAAAAUGAACCUAAGAACACAGGAGCCUACAGGUCUCAAGGGAACAUCCUCGCCUGUGCAUAACAUUCGUGAGAGAAUCCGUUGUGAAAAACAGGCUAGUGGCCUGAAUGCUCCUGUUUAUAUGACCCACCCACGUACCAUUGGUCCUCGUGAUGACUCUGGGUAUAAUAGAGACUGGGUUCAGGACAUUAGUAACGCAUCAACGCGGCCACGUGAUACCAACGGUUCCACCUCUAGGCCAAACUUUUCUGCUGGGAAUGCAAUGCGUGGUAUACCUAAACCGUGGGGUUCGCUACCAUCACGGGGUGGCCCUGUUCAACAAGUACCAUAAGACUAGGCUCGAUCGCAUACGUAAUGACACCAACCAAGAACAAGCCAGCGGCAGAAUGCGCGAGCACCAUAUACACCCGAGGAGAGAACAGGAACAACCCAAAAGACUAAAAGCAGUCCCCAGGCGUGAUCCAAAUGUAUCCGGUAACGGCUAUAUCCCACCCAGAGAAGGUGGCAAGUAUGACAAUAACGUACCUUGGCACGGUAAGCCCAGAUCGCAUUUCACUGAGAAACAUGAGAUCAGUCCCGUCAAAGAAACCAUCGACGCUCCCUCACAGUGCAAUUCCUAUGAAGAGAACAGGUGUCCCACGAUCCGUAAAGGUUUUCACAGAAAGAGAGCCUGGAGGUAUUCCAGGCAAGAGUUAGGUGAUAGUACAGCCGUGACGGUAGAGCUUCUCACAGAUUCUGGUUCUGGCGAUGACACUAUGGGUGUGUAUGAUACGUGUGCCUCCAAGGUCGAUGACAAAACUGGAUGCGAUGCAAGUAAGCCAUUAGAAAGUUUUACCUCCUGCACAAAGCGCAACAAGGUUCAUGGGCCAGAACGAGCCGCUGAUACAGAUGAAUGCGUAUCUCCCGUAGACAGUCCCCAGGCUACCAGUACAUCUGUGACACGAAUCCCUGUCAGCCAUCCUGACUGCUCGUGUCACACGUUUUCCGACAAGAGUGCUCACCACAAUGUUUACCAUACAGGGAAGCCAUCAGCAAGUGCUCGCCCUACCCAGAAGGGCACCAGGGCUCCUGCUCUCGAACGAGCAGCGGAUAGGGAUACGUGUGCGUCUGCGGUACA